ACUGUGGGACCCCCUCCCCCUCCAGUGCGAGGCCAGCACUGUGGGACCCCCUCCUCCUUCAGUGUGAGGCCAGCACUGUGGGACCCCCUCCUCCUCCAGUACGAGGCCAGCACUGUGGGACCCCUGCCCCCUCCAGUGUGAGGGACUAACACAACCAUGUGGGACACUCAGGAGACCCCAUGUUCUGGACCACGACCCUUAUUCUUCAUCCUUAUCCUCCCAUGGCUGACAUGACAGACUGCUCACUGAGUGGCACCGACUGCCCUAUGUGACACGAAAUGGUGCUGGCGGUGACACAUCUACCAUGCAGACGGAGCACUCCUCUGUUGAUGACAUGUCCCUCGGUUCCAAGAGUUCCCUAAGUGGCUGUGAAUGUUCAGUCCUAAGAGCUCCCUUGUCUAUUUGUUACAGAGAACAACAGCCAAAAUCUUAAUUUACAAGUUCUCAGCAA